rnacentral:tRNA from 1 species
CGGGAUGUAGCUCAGCCUGGUAGAGCGCCUGCUUUGGGAGCAGGAUGUCGCAGGUUCGAAUCCUGUCGUCCCGA